rnacentral:lncRNA from 8 species
CUCGUCCUCUCCCGACCGUAUGUAUACUCAUUCCUCAGACAGAAGGGAAACUUGGUUGAGUCACUCUAGUUGCUCACCAGCGCGCGCAGUCGACCCCUAUUUCCAAAUGGAGAACGCUGGAAACGCACGGGUGGUGGAGUGGGGUGGUGUUUUGGACAGCCCAGAAACAGAGUUGAGCCCUGAGGGCCCAUCUACAGGUGGUUCAUUGCCCCUUGGUUUAUCAUCGCUCUCCCCGGCCUGGUUCAUCACCUCCUCGGCCCUUCUCCCCAACGCCCAGGCCCUUCUCACCAGCAUGUUUUUUUUAUAUUCACUUAUUUCCUAAUUCAUGUUACUGUUGUUUACUUUGUGUUUUUUCUCUCAUUUCCCCUUUCAUCACACUUUUCACCUGUGUAUUACAUAGUUUUACGUUCAACUAUUUUCCUAAAUAAAUAUCAAAAAGGUCUGCAAAUGUAUUUGUCUGGUUAUUUACACAAAAAAUAUUACUGUUCUGAAUCAGUCACUCAGUAAACUACUGCUUUGUACUGUACAUGAGCUAUGUAGAUGAGGUUAAUGUAUUGGGGGUCUGUCCUUAUUUCCUUCAGCUGGACACUCAUUCUCACCGCUGUACCAUUGCAAUAAAGUAGCGUGUGUAGCGUGUUGAUGACUGUGUCGUCAGUGUCUGUAGUGCAAAGGUAAUUGUGGAGGGCCACGCAGGCCUUCACAAUGGUCUCAGCUUUCUGUGGGGCAACCUCAAGGGCUCGUUCCAGGAUCCUCCAUCUUGCAGCAAGGAUCCCAAAGCAGUUCUUUGACAUUGAGAGUGGUGGUAGUUGUAGAUAUUCUUGGCCUCAUCAAGGCCAGAACCUUUGAAUAAAAUAAUUAUUGCCAUUAGUAUUGAACAACGACACGAUGGCUAUCAAAUGUGUACCGUAACAACCGUGUGGCCUAUGCUUUGG